rnacentral:rRNA from 1 species
UAGAGGAAGUAAAAGUCGUAACAAGGUUUCCGUAGGUGAACCUGCGGAAGGAUCAUUAAUGAGUUUUGAUGUGGGUCUCUUGAGCUGGCAUUGCAGGUGCUCGGAGGCUCCCAUUCUCAUCCACUCAACCCCCUGUGCACUUCUGAACGCAAGUGAGUCGUCAGUCCCCAUGCUGGGAUUGACUUGUAUUUACUUCGUUUAUUACAAACUCUUUUUAUGUCUUGUAGAAUGCAUUGCCUCUUUACAGGCGAAAUGUAAUACAACUUUCAACAACGGAUCUCUUGGCUCUCGCAUCGAUGAAGAACGCAGCGAAAUGCGAUAAGUAAUGUGAAUUGCAGAAUUCAGUGAAUCAUCGAAUCUUUGAACGCACCUUGCGCUCCUUGGUAUUCCGAGGAGCAUGCCUGUUUGAGUGUUAUGUUAUUCUCAAUCCCCUUGGUUUUUAUAAUAAGACCUCUGGGCUUGGUUUUGGAGGCUUAUGCUGGCUUCACAGUCGGCUCCUCUUGAAAGCAUUAGCUGGGCUUUUGCUCGAUGCAACGGUGUAAUAAUUAUCUUCACCGAUGCAGCUUGCAGUUAAAGCUUGCUUCUAACUGUCUCAGUCUGAGACAUUAUAAGGGCUCUGGUCCUUUGACAACUUUGACCUCAAAUCAGGUAGGACUACCCGCUGAACUUAAGCAUAUCAAU